rnacentral:misc_RNA from 1 species
GAUGAAGAACGUAGCAAAAUGCGAUAAGUAAUGUGAAUUGCAGAAUUCAGUGAAUCAUCGAAUCUUUGAACGCACAUUGCGCCCGCUGGUAUUCCGGCGGGCAUGCCUGUUCGAGCGUCAUUUCAACCCUCAAGCCCCCGGGUUUGGUGUUGGGGAUCGGCUCUGCCCUUCUGGGCGGUGCCGCCCCCGAAAUACAUUGGCGGUCUCGCUGCAGCCUCCAUUGUGUAGUAGCUAACACCUCGCAACUGGAACGCGGCGCGGCCAUGCCGUAAAACCCCAACUUCUGAAUGUUGACCUCGGAUCAGGUAGGAAUACCCGCUGAACUUAAGCAUAUCAAUAAGCGGAGGA